rnacentral:rRNA from 1 species
CGGCUCAUCACAUCCUGGGGCUGAAGUCGGUCCCAAGGGUAUGGCUGUUCGCCAUUUAAAGUGGUACGCGAGCUGGGUUUAGAACGUCGUGAGACAGUUCGGUCCCUAUCUGCCGUGGGCGUUGGAAGAUUGAAGGGGGCUGCUCCUAGUACGAGAGGACCGGAGUGGACGAACCUCUGGUGUUCGGGUUGUGUCGCCAGACGCAUUGCCCGGUAGCUAAGUUCGGAAUCGAUAACCGCUGAAAGCAUCUAAGCGGGAAGCGAGCCCUGAGAUGAGUCUUCCCUGAUACUUUAAGUAUCCUAAAGGGUUGUCGGAGACUACGACGUUGAUAGGUCAGGUGUGUAAGUGCUGUGAGGCAUUGAGCUAACUGAUACUAAUUGCCCGUGAGGCUUAACCAUACAACACCCAAGGGGUUU